AUUUUCAGGUUUUUUGGAAACAACAGCUUGUCUGAUACAUGACUGCCAUCCCAAAAAAGCUAUAAACUUCUUAAUGCGCUUUAGGAAGGGAUGAAUGGGAGUUAGAUGGUUGGAUUAUUUUUAUUUAUUUAUUUAUUUGUCUUGUUUUGUAGGCUUUAGGAAGGGAUGAAUGGGAGUUUUGGUGGCCCACUCUGCAAGUUUUUAAUGAAGGAUCUAAAAUUAAGCUAGGGAAGAAAGAAGAUGAAGAAGCUGAUGAAAAAUAGCAGUACCUAUGGUAGUUAUUGCUUCUUUUAGGAAAAUGAAAAAGCUUGUCCAAGACAUUUCAUUGGUUGAGGCUGCACUUAGGACCUCGUCUCAGCUUGUUGUAAGUUCCGAUGGAAAGAAAGUGAAGCGAUUGCAUGCAUUGCCAGAUAUUGACAUCGAAGAUGCAAAAGUAUUUCUAUGAUGGCUUCUUGAUCAUUUUCACAACAAUCUGUUACGGUCA